rnacentral:rRNA from 1 species
AGUGAACGCUGGCGGUAGGCCUAACACAUGCAAGUCGAACGGCAGCACAGGAGAGCUUGCUCUCUGGGUGGCGAGUAGCGGACGGGUGAGGAAUACAUCGGAAUCUACUCUGUCGUGGGGGAUAACGUAGGGAAACUUACGCUAAUACCGUAUACGACCUACGGGUGAAAGCAGGGGACCUUCGGGCCUUGCGCGAUUGAAUGAGCCGAUGUCGGAUUAGCUAGUUGGCGGGGUAAAGGCCCACCAAGGCGACGAUCCGUAGCUGGUCUGAGAGGAUGAUCAGCCACACUGGAACUGAGACACGGUCCAGACUCCUACGGGAGGCAGCAGUGGGGGAUAUUGGACAAUGGGCGCAAGCCUGAUCCAGCCAUACCGCGUGGGUGAAGAAGGCCUUCGGGUUGUAAAGCCCUUUUGUUGGGAAAGAAAUCCAGCUGGCUAAUACCCGGUUGGGAUGACGGUACCCAAAGAAUAAGCACCGGCUAACUUCGUGCCAGCCGCCGCCGUAA